GAUGAACGCUGACAGAAUGCUUAACACAUGCAAGUCAACUUGAACUUCGGUUUGGGUGGCGGACGGGUGAGUAACGCGUAAAGAACUUGCCUCACAGCUAGGGACAACAUUUGGAAACGAAUGCUAAUACCUGAUAUUAUGAUUAUAUGGCAUCGUAUAAUUAUGAAAGUUAUAUGCGCUGUGAGAGAGCUUUGCGUCCCAUUAGCUAGUUGGAGAGGUAACAGCUCACCAAGGCGAUGAUGGGUAGCCGGCCUGAGAGGGUGAUCGGCCACAAGGGGACUGAGACACGGCCCUUACUCCUACGGGAGGCAGCAGUGGGGAAUAUUGGACAAUGGACCGAGAGUCUGAUCCAGCAAUUCUGUGUGCACGAUGAAGUUUUUCGGAAUGUAAAGUGCUUUCAGUUGGGAAGAAAAAAAUGACGGUACCAACAGAAGAAGUGACGGCUAAAUACGUG
rnacentral:rRNA from 1 species